GUGCUCACGUCAACAUUGCAUAUACUAAAAUUGGAAUGAUACAGGAAAGAUUAGCAUGGCUCCUGUGCAAGGAUGACAUGCAAAUUCAUGAAGUGUUAAAAAAAGAA